AGUGAACGCUGGCGGUAGGCCUAACACAUGCAAGUCGAACGGCAGCACAGUAAGAGCUUGCUCUUACGGGUGGCGAGUGGCGGACGGGUGAGGAAUACAUCGGAAUCUACUUUUUCGUGGGGGAUAACGUAGGGAAACUUACGCUAAUACCGCAUACGACCUACGGGUGAAAGCAGGGGAUCUUCGGACCUUGCGCGAUUGAAUGAGCCGAUGUCGGAUUAGCUAGUUGGCGGGGUAAAGGCCCACCAAGGCGACGAUCCGUAGCUGGUCUGAGAGGAUGAUCAGCCACACUGGAACUUAGACACGGUCCAGGCUCCUACGGGAGGCAGCAGUGGGGAAUAUUGGACAAUGGGCGCAAGCCUGAUCCAGCCAUACCGCGUGGGUGAAGAAGGCCUUCGGGUUGUAAAGCCCUUUUGUUGGGAAAGAAAAGCAGCAGGUUAAUACCCCGCUGUUCUGACGGUACCCAAAGAAUAAGCACCGGCUAACUUCGUG
rnacentral:rRNA from 1 species